rnacentral:misc_RNA from 1 species
ACUCACUCACACUCUCCCCUGUAUUUAUUCACAACUUUCCACAGCCUUUUGUCCCAUGGCAUUAACAUGCUCAUGGUAAACAAUUUGAUCAUUAAAAAAAACUGGUUGAGCAUAGAGUUAGAGGGAGUAGACUUACCAUUUUGAUGAUUCUUCUGUUUUGAGAUUGUGUUCUGUAUUUUAGGGACAGUAGCAUGGGAUUCCUCAGUAUGCAAUCUGCAGAUGCCUGUGCUCUUCUCCACUGAGAUUUUCUUGAAUUAGUGUCACCACAUGCUAUCUGUUUAAUUUGUUGAAUUGCUUCAAUGGCUUUCUCUUUCUCUUCUUUCCUCCAUUUCAUCCUCCGAAGCCCAUAUCUCUCCCAUUUUCAUCUGAAAUGUGUUUCUUCAACUAUUUUACCUUCUAAAGCACAAGAACUCUUGCAAGAUUUCACACCAAAGUAAUUUCUCGACACCCUUCGUUAAGAAAAUGAUGAAACUUCAGCUUUU